AUUGAACGCUGGCGGCAGGCCUAACACAUGCAAGUCGAACGAGUGGCGGACGGGUGAGUAAUGUCUGGGAAACUGCCCGAUGGAGGGGGAUAACUACUGGAAACGGUAGCUAAUACCGCAUACCAUCGGAUGUGCCCAGAUGGGAGUAGCUUGUAGGUGAGGUAACGGCGCACCUAGGCGACGAUCCCUAGCGUGUCUGAGAGGAUGACAAGCAACACUGGAAAUGUGCAAGUGUCCAGAAUCCUACGGGAGGCAGCAGUGGGGAAUAGUGCACAAUGGGCGCAAGCCUGAUGCAGCCAUGCAGCGUGUAUGAAGAAGGUCUUCGGGUUGUAAAGUACUUUCAGCGGGGAGGCGUUACCCGCAGAAGAAGCACCGGCUAACUCCGUGCCAGCAGCCGCGGUAAUAC
rnacentral:rRNA from 1 species